UGGGGGAUAUUGCACAAUGGGCGAAAGCCUGAUGCAGCGACGCCGCGUGGGGGAUGAAGGCCUUCGGGUUGUAAACUUCUUUUGCUCUGAACAAGGCAUGCCUUUGGGGUGUGUUGAGUGUAGGGGUUGAUUAGCGCCGGCUUACUACGUGCCAGCAGCCGCGGUAAUACGUAGGGCUCGAGCGUUUUCCGGAAUUAUUGGGCGUAAAGGGCUUGUAGGUGGCUGGUUGCGUCUGUCGUGAAAGCUCAUGGCUUAACUGUGGGUUUGCGGUGGGUACGGGCUGGCUUGAGUGCAGUAGGGGGGGCUGGAAUUCCUGGUGUAGCGGUGGAAUGCGCAGAUAUCAGGAGGAAUACCGGUGGCGAAGGCGGGUAUCUGAGCUGUUACUGACGCUGAGGAGCGAAAGCGUGGGGAGCGAACAGG
rnacentral:rRNA from 1 species